CAACAUGGCCAAGCCUUGUGGGGUGUACCUGAGCGGGGAAGCCCACAAGCAGGUGGAUGUCUUCAGGCAAAGUCUUUUCCAGGAGGCAGAGGAAUUCCUCUACAGUUUCUUGCCACAGAAAAUCAUACACCUGAAUCAACUCUUGCAAAAGGACUCCCUCAAUGUUGCUGACCUGACCUCUCUCCAGACCCCACUGGACAUCCCCAUCCCAGACCCUCCACCCAAGGAUGAUGAGAUGGAAACAGAUAAGCAGGAAAAGAAAGAAGUUCCCAAGUGUGGCUUUCUCCCUGGAAAUGAGAAGGUUCUCACCCUACUUGCCCUGGUUAAGCCAGAAGUCUGGACUCUCAAAGAAAAAUGCGUUCUGGUGAUCACACGGAUCCAGCACCUGAUCCCCAAGAUUGAGAAUGGAAAUGACUUUGGGGUGGCAAUCCAGGAGAAGGUGCUGGAGAGGGUAAAUGCAAUCAAGACAAAAGUAGAUGCUUCCAGACAACCAUUUCCAAGUACAUCUCUGAAUGCGGGGAUGCUGUGGCCAAGGCCUCUAAGGGGACUCAUGUAAUGGAUUACGGGGUCCUGAUGCAUGAGCAAGAUGAGGCAGCCUAUGGAGAGCUCAGGGCCAUGGUGCUGGACCUGAGGGCCUCCUAUGCUGAGCUUUAUCAUAUCAUCAGCAGCAACCUAGAGAAAAUUAUCAACCCAAAGAGUGAAGAGAAGCCAUCUAUGUACUAGUCGA